rnacentral:rRNA from 1 species
ACACUCCUGCGGGAGGCAGCAGUGGGGAAUUUUACGCAAUGGGGGAAACCCUGACGUAGCGACACCGCGUGAGCGAAGAAGCCCUUUGGGGUGUAAAGCUCUGUCAGCUGGAACGAAAACAAUGACGGUACCAGCAGAGGAAGCAUCGGCUAACUACGUGCCAGCAGCCGCGGUAAGACGUAGGAUGCGAGCGUUGUCCGGAUUUAUUGGGCGUAAAGAGUUCGUAGGUGGUUUGUUAAGUUUGGUGUUAAAGAUCGGGGCUCAACCCUGGGACUGCACUGAAUACUGGCAGACUCGAGUGUGGUAGAGGCUAGUGGAAUUCCCAGUGUAGCGGUGAAAUGCGUAGAUAUUGGGAAGAACACCGGUGGCGUAGGCGACUAGCUGGGCCAUAACUGACGCUGAGGAACGAAAGCCAGGGGAGCGAAUGGGAUUAGAUACCCGGGUAGUCC